GGGGUGUCUGCCGUGCUGCCCGCCCGGGCCCGGCCCGAUGGGGCCGGUCUCCCGGCUGGUACCGGUGUCGUUGUGGGACCCUGGCGGCCCGGGCCCGGGAAGCUCGGUGCGGUGUGCUGAGGCCGUGGUCGUAGUUGUAGCAGCCGAGGGGUGUCUGUGUAUAAAUCUGUAUCUGCCUGGUUUUACCUUCUUCCGAUUCUCCUCCUCAUCCCACUGGGGACUGGGGAGAGUGAGCAGCUAUGUGGUACUUAAGUUGCUGGCUGGCUGAAACCAGGACACUCAACCUGUCUUCACAGGUCACCAGGGUGCAGUACAGCAAUACAGUCCUUGAUGUGACAUGGUGGGAUUUGCUCCAAAAAUGAGUGGUUGUACGGGUUCUGCAAAAUCUGAACACUGUUGAAAGGAUUUGUGUGUGGCACAUGCAAGCCUGACAUCCAAGCAAGUUGUGUCUGAUGUCAUCAUAUGGUAUCACAUUAUUUGUGCACAUAUUUAGCACCCUUUGCACAAGCAGGGAUGACAUCAGAGGAUAGGAAUAGUGAAGAUUCAAGCUUCAUUUACAGUAGAAGCCAGUCAGUGUUUGAUACCAAAUAUCUUCAGAGGUGCAAACAAGCUGAAGUCUUUACUUCUAAAUGUGAUCUUAGAUCAAAGGUAUGCCUUUCAGUAUCCUCUUGGAUGUUUAUCACCUUGACCUAGGUGACACUGUCUCAGGAAGGCUGCAGAAGAACUGAGGAAUUCAAGGGCAACAUUUUCAUGAGGUUCAGUUUGGAUGCCUUUGUUUCUGGACAUCAUCUUGAUUUGCAGAGGUAGACACCUUGGUUGGAAUAGGUGGGAAAGAAACUACACUGAAUAUCUGUUGCCAAGCAGCCACAAGAAACGUAACUUCAUUUGUACAGUAUGCAGAUUCUUCUGUUUGAUCAUGUGUGAGUUUGAACCAGAAACUUUGGUCACCACAAGAUGACAGUAUAGUUCAACUAAAAAUUUUUCUCCUAAACAACUCAGUACAAACUCUCUAAACAGUAACUGUAAAUUAGGUAAAGAAGUGGAAAACAACAUUAUCUGUACAGUUCUUACAUCUCUAUGACAAUAAUAGUUGAUAUGAUCAAACAGCAAUGCUUAUGAAAAAGGCUGUUGCAUCCUGCUAAGAAGCGAGUAAAUGUAAUACAAAAAGCUUUCACUUGUUUAAGAUGAAAAUGGAUAGAAGAAAAUUAAACAGCUGUCACUAAAGUAUGAAAUUGAUUGUUAAAAUGUAGUGGAAAUGAUAAAUUAUAAAAACUCUUUGUAUAACAAA
rnacentral:lncRNA from 1 species